GUUUGUUAGUUUUUUCUGUGAAUGGCAUCUCUAGGACCACUUGGCUAACUGACUACUGCUUGUCCAGUAGCCAACCCUCAGGGCGAGUGCAACGCAGUGAGCUUUGUCGUGCAUCACCACUCCAAAGGCUGCCAUUUUUCUCUGCUUCAUGGGCUAUGAAGGUCAAGAACUAGACGGGGAGAAGUCUAGCUUUGGGUAUCACUAUUUUCCUGGACCACGACUUGGACUCUUAAGCAAGUUGCCAUUUUCAUACUCCAGUUUUUGGCCCUGCUUGUUUCACAGCUGAAUAUGCAUGGCCCUGGCCUUCACUCAGGAGUUGGUCUUCUCAACUUUCUUUUCCUUAUUUCUUGGGUUUUCUAUUUUGUGGGC
rnacentral:misc_RNA from 1 species